rnacentral:rRNA from 1 species
AAUGGGAGCGGCAGACGGGUGAGUAACACGUGGGGAUCUACCCAAUGGUACGGAAUAACCCAGGGAAACUUGGAUUAAUACCGUAUGUGCCCUUCGGGGGAAAGAUUUAUCGCCAUUGGAUGAACCCGCGUCGGAUUAGCUAGUUGGUGAGGUAAAGGCUCACCAAGGCGACGAUCCGUAGCUGGUCUGAGAGGAUGAUCAGCCACACUGGGACUGAGACACGGCCCAGACUCCUACGGGAGGCAGCAGUGGGGAAUAUUGGACAAUGGGCGCAAGCCUGAUCCAGCCAUGCCGCGUGUGUGAUGAAGGCCUUAGGGUUGUAAAGCACUUUCGCCGGUGAAGAUAAUGACGGUAACCGGAGAAGAAGCCCCGGCUAACUUCGUGCCAGCAGCCGCGGUAAUACGAAGGGGGCUAGCGUUGCUCGGAAUCACUGGGCGUAAAGCGCACGUAGGCGGAUCGUUAAGUCAGGGGUGAAAUCCUGGAGCUCAACUCCAGAACUGCCCUUGAUACUGGCGAUCUCGAGUUCGAGAGAGGUUGGUGGAACUCCGAGUGUAGAGGUGAAAUUCGUAGAUAUUCGGAAGAACACCAGUGGCGAAGGCGGCCAACUGGCUCGAUACUGACGCUGAGGUGCGAAAGCGUGGGGAGCAAACAG